ACAGCAGUCCCACGGUAAUACAGAGGGUGCGAGCGUUAAUCGGAUUUACUGGGCGUAAAGCGUGCGUAGGCGGCUUCUUAAGUCGGAUGUGAAAUCCCUGAGCUUAACUUAGGAAUUGCAUUCGAUACUGGGAAGCUAGAGUAUGGGAGAGGAUGGUAGAAUUCCAGGUGUAGCGGUGAAAUGCGUAGAGAUCUGGAGGAAUACCGAUGGCGAAGGCAGCCAUCUGGCCUAAUACUGACGCUGAGGUACGAAAGCAUGGGGAGCAAACAGGAUUAGAUACCCGAGUAGUCCCUGUCUCUUAUACC
rnacentral:rRNA from 1 species